CAAAGAUCCUAAAAAAUCAUACCCAGAACCAGCACUGGUGCCCCUGGGUGAGAAACCUAAGGUGUGAAGGUGUAAUCUAAUUGAGGGAAUUCGGCAAAUUAGCCCCGUGCCUUCGGUAAAAGGGGUCCCUGCAAUUGUUGCUUAGCAAUUGAUUGCAGGGUGCAAUGACUAAGGGGGUCCGACUGUUUAACAAAAACUUAACUGACUGCUAGCCUGUAAAGGUGUGUAUAGUCGGUGACACCUGCCCAGUGUCUGUACUUUAAACUUCCUUCCAAGGAAGCUAAGAGCAGGUAAACGGCGGGGGUAACUAUAACUCUCUUAAGGUAACGUAAUACCUUGUCGUUUGAUUGACGACUUGCAUGAAUGGUGUAACGAGAUCUCCACUGUCCCCAACUAGAAUCCUCCGAACACUCCAUACUGGUGCAAAGGCCAGUGAUCUCCAGUGGGAAGCGAAGACCCCGUGAAACUUUACUACAGCCUAUUGUUGCGAUGUGGGUUUUGAUGUGUAGUGUAGGUGGAAGUCGCUAAAGCUUGGUCGUCAGGCCAAGUGUAGACGCCAAUGAAACACCACUCUUCAAAACCUACGUUGCUAAUCUCGUAAGAGAAACAGCGAUAGGUGGGUAGUUUGGCUGGGGUGGCACCCUGUUGAAACAAUAUCAACAGGACCCUAAGGUUGGCUCAAGCGGGUCAGAAAUCCGCAGUAGAGUGCAAGAGCAAAAGCCAGCCUGACUGUAUCCUUAACAAGAUUGGAUGCAGGCAUGAAAAUGUGGUCUAGCGAACCUCUAUGUCCUCCUUGAUGGGGGCUAGAGAUGAACGAAAAGUUACUCCGGGGAUAACAGAGUUGUCGCGCCCGAGAGUUCGUAUCGACGGCGCGGCUUGCUACAUCGAUGUCGGCUCUACCUAUCCUGGAAGUGCAGAAGCUUCCAAGGGUGCGGGUGUUCACCGAUUAAAAGGUAUCGUGAGCUGGGUUCAGAACGCUGUGAGGCAGUUUGUUUGAUAUCUACUGGAGAUGUUUGAUGUCUGAAAGGAAUAACCUUCUAGUACGAGAGGAACGAAGGUUAGAGGCCUCUGGUCUACCUGUUAUCUGACAAGGUAAGCAGGGCAGCUACGCCUUAUAGGAUAAGUGCUGAAAGCAUCUAAGCACGAAGCCUUCCUUGAAAAGAGACAUCAUAGAACUCUCGCAAAACACGAGUUUAAUGGGACAGGAGUGUAAGUACGAAGGCAACGACGUAUUCAGCUCGCUGUUUCCAACAGUUCAAUCUUUUAGUC
rnacentral:rRNA from 1 species